AACUAACGCUGGCGGCGUGCCUAAUACAUGCAAGUCGAACGCGAAAGUCCUUCGGGAUGAGUAGAGUGGCGCACGGGUGAGUAACACGUGGGUAAUCUGCCGUAAGAUGGGGAAUAACCCCUCGAAAGAGGGGCUAAUACCGCAUAAGACCACAGCAACUCCGGUUGCAGGGGUUAAAAGUGACCUCUAUUUAUAAGUUAUUGUCUUACGAUGAGCCUGCGCAGCAUUAGCUAGUUGGUGGGGUAAUGGCCUACCAAGGCUACGAUGCUUAGCUGGUCUGAGAGGAUGAUCAGCCACACUGGAACUGAGACACGGUCCAGACUCCUACGGGAGGCAGCAGUAGGGAAUAUUGCUCAAUGGGGGAAACCCUGAAGCAGCAACGCCGCGUGAGUGAUGAAGGCUUUCGGGUCGUAAAGCUCCGUUGUACGUGAAGAACGCGGGUAUGGCUAACAUCCAUAUCCAGUGACGGUAGCGUAUAAGAAAGGACCGGCUAACUUCGUGCCAGCAGCCGCGGUAA
rnacentral:rRNA from 1 species